rnacentral:lncRNA from 1 species
GCUUCCAGGGCCAGUCCUGCCUGCCCCGGAGGUCCCCCUGGGCCUGCGCACCUUCCUUGACUGUGGAGUCCAUGGGGCACCUCCCUUAUAUGGUCAGAUAUUUAUGUCUCCCCACUUCUGAAGGGAGCCUUCCCAGCAUGCCUAGUUCAGCAUCCAGUCCUCACGGCCAGCCUCUGAGUCCAAAUUUCUCACCGUGUAUCUCAAGGCAUCGGAAUCACAUGGAACAGGGAGGUGCCGGCGGCUGUCUCACAUGCCGAAGUUCAGGGCUGCCUCUCCAGUAGUGAUGUGGAGAAGCUCAGUCCCUGGGGAAUCUGUGCAGCAGGCAUUGUGAAGACCCUGUUUCUCUGGCUGUGCAGCUGCAAGGUCACUAGGCAGAUAAACUCAAGUUGUAAAACACGUUUUGCCUUGAAAAGUAAGAAAUGAUGUAAUGCGUGUCUUAAUUGAAUAACUGUCUUUGUUUCAUGCUUCUGUAAUAUGCUUCCCCCUGCACAGAUCUCCCCCCGCCCCACAAAAUGCUUAAAAGGUAGCUUGACUCUUUGUUCAUGGCUCAGUCCUUUGGAUGUUAAUCCGACUGGGUUGGUGCACCUAAAUAAUUAAAUAAUUCCUUUUCAACCCCUCCAUCUCUCUGAUUCUUUAAUUAUCCCACAGCAGUAAUAAUCACUCUCCUACCCUCUAGGCCAGCUGAAAGAGUUAUGCGCUUAGAGGCAGGAGACCUGAGUUUGAAUCCUGACUCACAUUGGCUGUGUGACCUUAGAUAAGUCACACUACCUCUCUGAGCCUUGAUAUCCUUACCUGUGUAAUAGGCAUAAUGGUUCCUAUCUCAUGAAUGGCCCUGAUGCUCAAAUGCAAGUGAAGUUUUGGGUCAGUGUGACGUGGAUUCAAAUAUAAGAGGCUGCUGUUUUCCUUUGUGUUUUCCAUUAUUUGUGCCCCUGUUCUCUCUCCUGCUAGACCAUAGGCUGUUCCCUGUCAAGAUCUGGCUCAUAGGCAACCUCUUCUGAGAAGCCUUCCUGGAUUCUAUGGGCUGAGGUAGCUCCUUCUUCCUUUUCACCCAGACUCUUUGAUCUCAAAUAUCACCCACGAGUAUACUUCUUUGUGUGUUGAUGUUUCUUUUCUGGGCUAAGAGUUAAUUCCUUGAAGGUGAGAUUGUGUCUGGUUAUUUCUUUUCUUUUUUUUUGAGACAGAGUCCUGUUCUGUCACCCAGGCUGAAGUGCAGUGGCA